rnacentral:lncRNA from 1 species
UAAAUUAUGACAACAUCCUAAAAAAUCCGCAUACAAUACUCAAAUCUAGAUUUUAUCAAAUAAGAAAUUAAAAAUUCAACAAUAAAACAAAUAUACAAAAAUAUAUUAGUUUAGCACAAAUUAUUUCCAUUAUAGGCAAAAUCACUAUCACUAAUAUCAAUGCCUUUACUUCAUCUUUUAAUCAAUAAACAAGUAUUGUCAACAAUAUCAACAAGCAAGUUUUAAACAACUACUGUUAAUAUCAAAUUAAAUAAAUAAAAACCCAACUUUAGUAAGAAAUCAUUAGAUACAAGUCAUUAAAGCCAAAACAAACAAAAUCAAUCAAAUUAAAAUAAAGUAUUAGUAAUAUUAAAUUUGGAAAUUAUAAAAUUUCUACUUAUUAGAAGCUUCUUGUAUCUAUUUUAAUUCACACACACAUGCUGUAGUGAGAUAAGUUGGGUUUAGGAAUUAGAAAUUUCAUCUUACAUAUGUUUAUGAUUAAUUUUUUUUAUGAUAGGGUGGAUUUAGGAAUUAGGAAUUUCAACGUACACAUGUUUAUGAUUAAAAUUUUUAAUCUAAUUUUAGAGAUUAAAAUAAAAAUAUAAAUAAUUAAAAUAAAGAAUGUGGGUUAGCGGCUAAGUGGAUGCCCGUGUGCCUAUUCGAUGGAUUUUUUCUUAAUGGCAAACUCAUUUGCAACACGCAGCGGGUUUGAGUUUAAAACACUAUACUUGCUUAUAAACCUAUAAAAUUACCCGUAGCGGGCAUAUUUAAGUGAGUUCAUGGAUAAUUUUGCCAUUCCAAAUAUAAAUUAAAAGUGAUAAAUAUGAUAUAAAUUAUGCCCGUCAAUUAAGUUGACAUUUUCAAGCUCAAGAAUUACAUACAUACCAACAUACACCUAAAAUAAAUAAAUGACAUCAAAAUGUUACUCAAACUUCUAUUUUCUUACCUCAAUUAUUGGAGUUGACUUUUCAUACUCAAAUUCUCCAUAUUGUCGAUUGAUGUCAUCUUGCUACUUCCAACUUCGAGUUUUGGAGUGUCUUCAAUUGCGCUCUGUUUUUCUGUCUUAGCUAAGUCCUAAGAGUGGAAAUGGAAAAGUUGAGCUUUGCUUUGGUGCGAAAGUAAAGCUUAUAUUUUUAUACCACAAUUUUUUUUCCCCAUCUACAUCACACAUUUACUUGGAUAUAUAAGAAAAUAGGGGUUAGAUGAAAAUACAGAUGAUGAUCUUGAUGUUCUAUGUAUAAGAUACCCAUGUGGCUUUAUGUAUAAUGAUAGUUAUGAAAUUGUAUAAAUACCAUUUAUCCUUUUUUCCGUUUCAAUUACAGGAGAGAGAACAAUUUAUGGAGGGUAACUUGAGAUUUUUAAAAGUAAAGAAGUGAUUUAAAGAUUCUCAAUUUACGAAUGGGUAAUUCAAAAUUUAUAUUUAACUAGCCAUUCAAAAUUUAUAUUUAACUAG